AUGAGUUUCCUUUCUUGGAAUUGUCGUGGGGCUGGCAAACCCGCGACAGUUUGAGAGCUUGAUCUCACGAGGUAGUAUGCCCCAUCUUUACUUUGCAUCUUAGAAACCCAAAUAGAGGGAUCUAGAGUUGAGAACAUGGCUAAUAAUUUAGGGUUUAGCCAGAGCUUUGUUGUAAACAGUUCUGGUAGAAGUGGAGGUCUUUGAAUUUUUCUGGAAUGA
rnacentral:rRNA from 1 species